UAUUUUCUCUAUCUAAUAAGGGUUUUCAAAAGGAAACUUCUUGUUCUCCGCCGCUGCAUCCAGUGUUCUUCUAAGAUGUUGAAGAAGACAAGGUUCCUAACUGGCGGAUGAUUUUUAUUUUUCUCUAGGUGAUCAACACUCGAGGUCCUAUGUGGUGUGUAUCGUUGGCAAUCAACUUUUAGAACCAGAACUCGAUUGGAUAAUUUAUCUUAAUAUGAUUAUGUAGAUUCAAUUGAAGAAGUUAAUCUUUUUUCACAAUUGAUUUAAGUAUUUCCUAAAGCAUGAACUGACCAUCAAGUUAAGUGAAAAUGGAUCAUGAUAAUUCUCAAAAGAGCUUGGUAAUGGCGUCCACAACCCCAAGUCUUGAAAUAAAGUUCAACAGCCAUAAUGCAUGAAUUGUGGCUUCAUAACAUGCCAUAAAUUCUUCUUCCAAAGUGGAUGGAGCAAUGAUAGAUUUUUUAGCACACUUCCAUGAUACUGAUCAUUCAACUAAUAAGAACAAGUAACCAAAUGUGAACUUUCUAGUGUCAGCACAUCUAGAAAAAUUUGAAUCCGAAUGUACAGUAACUUCUAAGUGAUUGGAUCUCCUAUACAUGAGCAUGUAAUCCUUUGUUCCUUUAAGAUACCUCUAGACUUUC